rnacentral:rRNA from 1 species
AUUGAACGCUGGCGGCAUGCCUUACACAUGCAAGUCGAACGGUAACGGGCCUUCGGGUGCCGACGAGUGGCGAACGGGUGAGUAAUGCAUCGGAACGUACCUUUCAGUGGGGGAUAACGUAGCGAAAGUUACGCUAAUACCGCAUAUUCUGUGAGCAGGAAAGCAGGGGAUCGCAAGACCUUGCGCUGAUUGAGCGGCCGAUGUCAGAUUAGCUAGUUGGUGAGGUAAAGGCUCACCAAGGCGACGAUCCGUAGCGGGUCUGAGAGGAUGAUCCGCCACACGGGGAAUGAGACACGGCCCAGACUCCUACGGGAGGCAGCAGUGGGGAAUUUUGGACAAUGGGGGCAACCCUGAUCCAGCCAUGCCGCGUGAGUGAAGAAGGCCUUCGGGUUGUAAAGCUCUUUCGGCCGGGAAGAAAUCGCACAGGCUAAUACCUUGUGUGGAUGACGGUACCGGAAUAAGAAGCACCGGCUAUCUACGUGCCAGCAGCCGCCGUAA